AACGUUGCACGAUACACGUGCGAAUAGGUAAUUCGCAACUCGUGUCGAUUUAACUCCAUUCGGUCAUGUUUUAAUUUAUCGCCACACGUUGCGAAUUUCCUACUUUCCGCACUUGUAUCGUAAAUAACUAAUUCAUAUUUGACGACCGGUCUGGUCUAGUGGGUAGUGACCCUGCCUAUGAAGCCGAUGGUCCCGGGUUCGAAUUCCGGUAAGGGCAUUUAUUUGUGCGGUGAACACAGAUAUUUGUUCCUGAGUCAUGGCUGUUUUCUAUUACAUAUGUAUUUAUCUAUAUACGUAUGUAUAUCGUCGCCUAGCAUCCAUAGUAAAAGCUUUGCUUAGUUUGGGGUUAGGUCGAUUUGUGUAAGAUUGUCUCCAAAUAUUUAUUAUUAUUUUUUAUAUAUUUAUUUAUAUAGUCCAUCUAGAAGUGACAUGUGAUAGCUUGAAAAUUGAAAACAUAUGUUUAUAAUUAUCGAUUAAAUGUUUGACCAGGGCAGUAUUCGCAUAAUCGCGUUGAGCAGAGGAAUGAGCAAAUCUGGCCGGCAGCCGCCGCAGCGGCGUUCGAGCGCUGGAGGCAGAAUUAAGUCGAGAGUAACGUUGUUAUGACGAUAAAGGCAUUCUCGCUACGUGCGGGCAUUUUCCGCGCGAGCUCAGCUACCAAAUUGAAACGAUUUUUCAGUGGCAUGAUUGCAUCGGCGAUCAGCGUUAGCACUAGCCUAUUCAUACCUGUGUUGUGUGGGAAACGGGUUGGCCGGAUAUCGAGAUUUUUACCCUGAUAACCCGAUAUGGCUGAAAAAUCCGCCCCGAAAAUGUUGUUAGUCGUUUAAUAAAUGCUACGCACACGCGCGACACGAGGCUCGCGUAACAACGCGCUGUCACAUGGGUGGAAUAAAAA